GACGAACGCUGGCGGCGUGCUUAACACAUGCAAGUCGAACGGUAAGGCCCUUCGGGGUACACGAGUGGCGAACGGGUGAGUAACACGUGGGUGAUCUGCCCUGCACUUCGGGAUAAGCCUGGGAAACUGGGUCUACUACCGGAUAGGACCACUGCCUGCAUGGGGGGUGGUGGAAAGCUUUUGCGGUGUGGGAUGGGCCCGCGGCCGAUCAGCUUGUUGGUGGGGUGAUGGCCUACCAAGGCGACGACGGGUAGCCGGCCUGAGAGGGUGACCGGCCACAUUGGGACUGAGAUACGGCCCAGACUCCUACGGGAGGCAGCAGUGGGGAAUAUUGCACAAUGGGCGCAAGCCUGAUGCAGCGACGCCGCGUGAGGGAUGACGGCCUUCGGGUUGUAAACCUCUUUCAGCACCGACGAAGCGCAAGUGACGGUAGGUGCAGAAGAAGGACCGGCCAACUACGUGCCAGCCGCCGCUGUAA
rnacentral:rRNA from 1 species